GAUGAACGCUGGCGGCGUGCCUAAUACAUGCAAGUCGAGCGAACAGACGAGGAGCUUGCUCCUCUGACGUUAGCGGCGGACGGGUGAGUAACACGUGGAUAACCUACCUAUAAGACUGGGAUAACUUCGGGAAACCGGAGCUAAUACCGGAUAAUAUAUUGAACCGCAUGGUUCAAUAGUGAAAGACGGUUUUGCUGUCACUUAUAGAUGGAUCCGCGCCGCAUUAGCUAGUUGGUAAGGUAACGGCUUACCAAGGCAACGAUGCGUAGCCGACCUGAGAGGGUGAUCAGCCACACUGGAACUGAGACACGGUCCAGACUCCUACGGGAGGCAGCAGUAGGGAAUCUUCCGCAAUGGGCGAAAGCCUGACGGAGCAACGCCGCGUGAGUGAUGAAGGUCUUCGGAUCGUAAAACUCUGUUAUUAGGGAAGAACAAAUGUGUAAUUAACUAUGCACGUCUUGACGGUACCUAAUCAGAAAGCCACGGCUAACUACGUG
rnacentral:rRNA from 1 species